AUUGUGGAGUUAGGAAAAUGCUGAGAAGAUGACCCCAGGAAAACGAGCAGCUUUCACAAUAGAGAUAUUCAGAAGAAGCUUUGCCCUUUAGAGAGAGCUGGGUUCCAGGGAAGGCAAGAAGUCAACUGAAGAUAUUGUCAAAUGACUUACGGGAUUAGUGAGAAGGUUGAAGAAACAGACUCUAGUUUGAGCUCCUAGGAAUGACUCCCAAACAACAUUGCAGAAUAGGACCAUCAAGACUGGACAUGAAGAGGUUACAAAAACAAAAUAAAACGGGGAAAAAAAGUCUUCUGCCCAUAUUAUCUCUUUGAAACAUUUGAAGAACAGAUUCAGAAUUUGUAUAAAGGAGGAAGAAAACAAC